rnacentral:rRNA from 1 species
UACGUAGGGCGCAAGCGUUGUCCGGAAUUAUUGGGCGUAAAGAGCUCGUAGGCGGCUUGGCAAGCCGGGUGUGAAAACUCCAGGCUCAACCUGGAGACGCCACCCGGGACUGCUAUGGCUAGAGUCCGGUAGGGGAUCACGGAAUUCCUGGUGUAGCGGUGAAAUGCGCAGAUAUCAGGAGGAACACCGGUGGCGAAGGCGGUGAUCUGGGCCGGCACUGACGCUGAGGAGCGAAAGCGUGGGUAGCAAACAGG